GUUUAUUUUGGGAGUGUUUGCUGUAUAAUUGGGUUUAAAAAAUGUAUUAGAGGUACAGUAGGCAUGACUUUGAAUAGAUAA
ensembl:miRNA